rnacentral:rRNA from 1 species
UACGGAGGGCGCGAGCGUUGUCCGGAAUCACUGGGCGUAAAGGGCGCGUAGGCGGCCCUGGUAAGUCUGCGGUGAAAGCCCGGGCUCAACCCCGGGUCGGCCGCGGGUACUGCCGGGCUGGAGUGCCGUAGGGGCAGGCGGAAUUCCGGGUGUAGCGGUGGAAUGCGUAGAGAUCCGGAAGAACACCGGUGGCGAAGGCGGCCUGCUGGGCGGCGACUGACGCUGAGGCGCGGACAGCGUGGGAGCAACAGG